CACAGGAAAAUGCAAGUUGGUGGGAGCAAUACACAAUGCCAUGGAUUAUGCAAACUGCCAUACUAGUAUUUGCUCGACUUAGGACAUGCUGCAAGGUCCCUGGAUCCUGAAAUCACUCUGCAGCACCAUCAGUUGGUUCAGUGGGGUUCCAUCGCUUGUCAACAAACAAAAAGAAUUUUAUUUUUGGCAAGGACCUUCUCUACAUAAAAGCAAUUAAUGGAGGAUUCAAUUUUGCUUGCAAAAAUGGAUUUACGGGUAGGCAUACCAUAUCAAUAAGUGACAAACAUAUUCAAUUCAGGAGAAGCUUAUGCCAAGAUUUGAAAGUAAAGUAGUAGAUGUUCCAAUAUAAUAACAUUUAAUUAGCGUUUUACUGUGUAAAAACCUAAAUGCAUUACCAAAUCUGUAAAAUUUGACUAGUAUGUGCAAAUUAGUCUCUCUGCCCCAACCCCCAAAAGUCACGGAACAGAAUUUGCAAAAUAACACCAAAAACUGAGAUACUGAAUAAAAAUCUGCUCUUAAAGAACUUAUGUUGAGGGAAAAAAAAUAAACAUAGAAUGAGCAAGAAACAACAAAUUUUCAGUUUUUGGCCAAGGUCCUCAUUUUGUGAAAAUCGCAAGUGUAACGGGGUGUCUUAUAAUCAUAAGAUGUAGAACAAUCAGUGUUGUGGAUCAAGACAUCAGCAAUGAUUUUUCUAUAAACUGGAGGUUAGCUUCUAAAUAAGAUGCGACAAUUAAAUGUAGAAUUUAA